rnacentral:misc_RNA from 1 species
CAGAGUUCCUGCCCCUACGGGUAGAUCUCCAACCCUUGAAAUGUUUACCUUUGUUGCUUUGGCAGGUCGUGGUCUCCACUACCGGCUUCGGCUGGUACGUACCUGCCAGAGGAUCCAACUCUUGUUUUUAGUGAUGUCUGAGAACUAUAUAAUAGUUA